rnacentral:tRNA from 1 species
GCUGGGGUAGCUCAGACGGAAGAGCGGCUGACUUGUAAUCAGCAGGUUGUGAGUUCGAUUCUCACCUCCAGCUCCA